AGUAAUGUCUGGGAAACUGCCUGAUGGAGGGGGGUAACUACUGGAAACGGUAGCUAAUACCGCAUAACGUCGCAAGACCAAAGUGGGGGACCGUUCGGGCCUCAUGCCAUCAGAUGUGCCCAGAUAGGAUUAGCUAGUAGGUGGGGUAACGGCUCACCUAGGCGACGAUCCCUAGCUGGUCUGAGAGGAUGACCAGCCACACUGGAACUGAGACACGGUCCAG
rnacentral:rRNA from 1 species